rnacentral:lncRNA from 1 species
UGACUGAUCAUUCAUUUGGUUUUAUUCAUGUCAAGGCAAACUACACUCUAGCUGUAAUGGCAUUAUACAAUGCCAUUGUAUAAUAGCUUACAGAGGAUGUUAUGAAAAGAGUUCACUAUUCAUAUCCGGAACACGGCUGCAUUACGACACCAGCGAAAUUGAUGAGCAGCUCUACUAUCUCGGUUGUAGCUCGGCGGACGAGAGUAUUUCACUUCUUAUUUCUGCAUUUCUUCCGAAUCUAUCUCCCCACUCAGCUAUGCAGGUGUGUAAGGGGUGAAGUUCUCAAUGGGAGCCGAGACUAUCGCACAGUGCCAGUAGAGAGACACCGAUGAAGUGUCAGUCAUGCUGGUGGCUGGCAGCGACGGCAGAGCAGAGCGUGACAUGCCAGUGUUUUUUCCUGAGGGGAUGUGUGUUUUCUUGGUCUUGGAUCCACGGAGUGAUAGCAGAACGUUCCAUUUAUUCUAUGGUUCUUUCCUUCCCUUCUUAUUUCUGCCACCAUGGCAUGAUCCAGAGCAGGGCGGUGUAACUGGGUGAUUCAACAUCACUGUUAUAGUGAUAGGAAGAGACACCAAGGAUUUUGCAACAAGGGCAAGUAGGAAAACCGUAAAGGUUAUUUUCCCCUUCAUAAUCAACGCAGUUCUCUCUGGCAGUGUUCAAGCCUUAGCAGCAGUCAAUCUGAGUGUUUCUGACUUCUGGCUGAUUUGUUCUUCUUCUUCUGAUGAUGACAGUUGGCAGCUCUCUUCUGGUUUCUUCGGACAGCUCAGUGUCAGUGAGUAGAGAGGCAGUGCUGGUUUUAUAGUGACUUGUAUUUCCAUUCACUUACAAAAGUGAGACAUACAUUUCUCCUGUAGAUUAGUAGUAUGCUUCGUACGGGUAGGAUAACUUACUGUGUAUUUUCUAUCCAAUACAGCUUGGUUUUAUAGUGACUUGUAUUUCCAUUCACUUACAAAAGUGAGACACAAUUCUCCAGUAGAUUAGUAGUACGCUUCGUCCGGGUAGGAUAACUUACUGUCUACUAUUUUCUAUCCAAUACAGCUUGGUUUUUAUAGUGACUGACUUGACUUGCCAUUUCGGAUCCUAAUUUAUUCGGAUAACCUUCCUAAUAAGUGUUGUUGUAGAUAUUGAGAGAUGACUGUAUCCUACUAGAGCACUGUCGAGUCGGGAGUCUUGUCAGACCGAGACACUGAGAAUGCAGAGCACAGUUCGUUUUCUAACAGAACAAAGACUGAAUAUACCAAAGCCACUGCAUCACAGAGAAUUGUGCCAAACCAGCCCUGAUAACAGCGUUGAUCACCUCUCCCACGAACAUAACCUUUUAUAAGGACUUUUUGCAUUAUGCACGGAUCAAACAAUGAAGUGGAAUACUCGUCCGCCGAGCCAAAACGAGCUUCACCCGAGACAGUAGAGCUGCUCCGCUGCUUCACUGGUGUCAUAACGCAGCCUUGUUCCUGCCUCUGACUACCAUCGUCCUCACAGAGCCCAGCCUCUCUUCUCCGGACCGGCAACACUACAGCUGCUCCUCGGAGUGAAGCCGCUUUUCGAGCGUCAAAAUUGGAAUUAUUCUUUG